GAAGGGACCCCUGAAACCAGGGCUAAGACACCCAAAGCAGCCAAGAAGUCCAAAAAUGACUCUAACAAUGAGUGGAAAGCCACAUUCUCAUCAAGCAAGACCUCCUUCACCAAAGGCAGGGCUUUGAUCCUGAGGACUAAGUACGCCAUCUCCUGGGGUAAAUCCUCAAUCUCCUGGAGCAGAACCACCACAACUCUGGGCAACACCGGCAUAUCAGUGGGGAAAACCUCUGUUACAAGGGGGGAGACCACGAGCUCUCUCACCACUCUGACCUUCACCCAUGGAACCAAGUCUGUGUCUGUGGUCAAAACCACCCUCAUCAGGGGCAAAGAAACACACAGCAACGUCUACUGGGAUUUUCACACAUGAAUCCUGCACAUACUUAAAAGCCCAAGGAUAAGUCUAUCUGGUCUGGUUUUAGCAGUCUUGGCAUAACCAGCAGGAUCAGAUGACACAGGCAGACUCCUCACUGGCUGCAGCACUGUCCUGUGUUUACCAUCCUCAACUGUCGGGGGAGAUGUCCUGUCUUGCACUGGAGCAGCACAAACAGCCAAGAGAAAGAAUGCCUUGUGCUCUGAUGAAUAGAAUCAUAAUAUGGGCUGAAUUCAAAUUGAAUAAAAAAAAAAAAAAAAGUAAACAUGUGACUACAGCAGGGUGUGUCUCUCACUCACCCGUCCCCUCUGUGAAUGAGCGUCCAGGCAAAGUGUUUCAUGGUCAGAGGAGGUGUAGAGAGAUCAGGGUGCACAAUGGACAGUAAAGGUGUUGGGCCGAUAAGCACUGAGAGCGUAAAUCAGAUGUGUGAACUUAAGAGGGGACUAAACUGAAGAAUAUCAAGGGGGUCCGAGUGAAAUUGGUGGUGAGAGAGUAGGCUGAUCUGCUGAUGAGAGAAGCCCACAUGUUUAGACAAACCUGGAAAAAUUCUGCUGUAAUUCUUCAUACUUGACAGUGUCUUUAAAAGUAAAUGUUCCUUCAUAAAUCAAGGAAAAUGCAAAAGAAGGCUGCAUCAAAAAGGAAACAGAAAUCGGUGUUAUUCCAGACAUGCAGGCUCAAAGAUUUGUUGACAUUUCUUAUUAUUUCUUAAAAAUUGCACUGACAGAGGUGAAAAGUGGCACAAAAUUAUGCAACUGUCACUCUUCACUAUUGCUCAGAAAAAAAAACAGAGCUACCCACUUGCAGAAGCACGUCCAAGAGAUGUGAAGAUGUAUUUGUGUUUACUAGAGCACACAACAUUUUAUUCUCUCCUCUCAUGCCAGCCAAGAUGCCCCACCUCUUCACCCUCCCUCCCUGUUGUUAUUGUGUCCAAGAGGCAUCUGAAAGAAUGGCCCUUUACAUCUGACCAGUCAAGUCUCACCCAUCUUAUCUAUGUUUUCUUAGGUCCACCGUGUCCACAGCAUCAUGUUCCUCCAGUCACGGACCACGGAGGGACAGCUCUUAGCCAGACUAAAGCAACAACACAGUACAUUUUAAACAUUACACACAAGACAAUUUGCUUCCCUGCUGAUCUCAUUUUAUCAAAUUGAGCUCAGAUGGACAAGGUUAAUGUGGAGUUGCAUUAAAAUUCCCCCUGGCUGCAGAAAGGCUCAGACUUGUUAAUAUAAAACCUGUUGCUAGUGGCAACAGCACAGAAAUAUAGAGAUAUGGCCAAGAUGACACUGCUGUCACUGUGGACAGGAUUUAUAUCACCAAAUCUCUUCAUAGCCAUUAAAACUAAAUUCCCCUUUUUUAUGCUGUGAGGUUAAAAAAAA